CUGAAAAAUAUCAUAAAUCAAAUAAAUGCGUAAGGGAGGUAACCGUUAUUUAACUCCCUUUUUUUCAUUCUAAAGGUAAAUCGAUGUCUUUUAAAGAUAGUUACACUAAAAAUAAGGCAACUACCAGUAAAACUAUUUGGUUGAUUAUUCCUUAUGGGAGGCAAAUUAAAUUUAAUCUUCCGUUCCAGUUCCAGGAAGCUAUUAUUAGGAAUUUUCCAAAGAAUUCUAUGUAUUAUUCGAUUAUCA